rnacentral:lncRNA from 1 species
UGAUACAUGAGGAUUUAAGUCUAAUCUGGGAUUUCACGUAAUUCCUUAAAUUAAGGAUCACACGUAAGUUACUAGUAUUGUUAUAAAUACAUGUAAUACCUAGAUAUAGAUAGGGAUUUCGUGUACUAUCUGGUAUUUUUACUUUACUAGUUCAAUAAUCGAGCAUAACCUUGUCAUGAUUUUGUGUUAUUUUACAAAAUUGGACAAUAUUGAAAAUAAAACGGUCAUAAAAUAUUUCUUAAAAACAAUUUGUUAUAUUGAUUUUACGUAUGCAUUUAACUGGUGCUAAAUAUUAUAGCUGUCUUGAAUUGAUUUAUGGUUAUUUCACGCCACUUUCACCAUUAUCGUGGCGGUCAGUUUUUAUUGGCAGAGGAAUCCAGAGUGUCGGUAGAGAACAACCGACCUUCAGCAGGAAUACUGAUUAAGAUCCGUGCAAAGCGCACGCCCGUCGCGCAGUGUUCGAGCUCGCAACUGCACGUACAAUGGCAGACUAAUGCUACAGUAGUUUGAACACAUAGACCAUUGGGCCAAUAUUCUCAUGGUGUCUGACAGUAGGGGGUGUAUCUUCAUUUCUAUAUUAUUUUCAAUUUUUAGGCCAUUUUUCUCCUUUCCUAAUACUGCUUGUCCGUACAUGUAAUUCUCAAUUCUUUAUACACCUCGUAUUUCUCCAUUCUUAAAAUGUUAUUCUCUAUUCUCAAUCACAUUCUAAUAAAUGAGAGGAAAUAGAACCUUAUGAUACUUAAUCGCAUGAAAUAGCUAAUUUAACUUCAACAAUUAAAACCAAAAAAAACUGUAAAACUGCCUAUUAUUAAGCCGGAUGAUGUUGGUGUUUUGUAGGACCUAUGUAGUGUUCAGUAGGUUGUUGAUCAGUGGUUCAUAUAGUUUCUCGUAUCUCGAUAUUAGGUUUGGUUUUCCUGUUUGAAUUGUUUACACUUGUUGUUAUUGUGUGUUUUGGUGACAGUAUUAACUGUCGAGAAAAGACGCUGUGAUCCAUGCAACAUUUACUAUACGUAUUAUAAUGGCCCUUAAGGAGCUACCAUUUGAUUUUUAUGGGGGCGGGGGGGUGGGGUGGGGUGGGGCUAGGAUGAAAUUUGAAAAAAAUAGGCAGGACAGGAGUUUUGAAUAAAAAAAAAGGCAGGAUGAGACACUUGCAAAAAAAAAAGUCAGGAUGACAAUUUAUGUAAAUAAAGUCAGGAUAAACUAAAAAAAAAAAGCAGGACCGAAUAGAGUGAAAAAUAAAAAGGCAGGACAGAGAUUACAACUAAAAAAAAAUGCAGGACAAAAUUUUUCAUCCUAAGCCCCCCCCCCCCCCCCCCCCCAUAAAAAUCAAAUGGUAGCUCCCUUACUAAUUGGGAACAUUAUACAUUGUACGGCGAGACACAACACAACACAAGCUCAACGAACCGGUUGGAGAUUGUCCAUGAUUAACAAAAUGUGUAUUAAAACAGGAUGUAAAUCUAGCUCACUGAAGUGUUUUUUGAUAAGGCAAACGUGUUGUGCAACUUAUGAAGUUAAUCUGUCAUGCCGUAACAACAAGUUGAAUAAUUCAACCUCAGUAUGCUUUUUCUACAUAAAAAAGGGAAAUAUUUGUGAUAUUUAAUUCCAUAGACUAUUGAUUAGUUUCAAGGACUAUUACACCGGUCAAUAGCUUUAUCAACUUCGCUAGCCAAUAGCUAUGAUCCACUUCCCUCCUAAGUGGAUCGUAACCCUUGGCAAGCAAAUAUGUAGUUUUAUAAGCAUACAUCUUUUUUCUUUGAUUAUUGUUCAUUGAUUAUUCGUGCGGUGUUAACUUUUAGUAGGGGUCUAUAUCGUCGUCAUCAUAUUCUGUAAUUAUUUUUAUCUACCGUAGUAGAUUUUAGUAAGUGAAUACCUGUCAACUGUCACUAUUUGUGGGUGAUUUCACCCAUGGAGGCUCCCUGUAUUGAAAUUUUGAAAGAGCAUUUUUGUCCACAAUUUAAACAAAACAAUUAAAUUUACAAUGACUUUAGGCUUAUAAAAGUAUGAAGAAGCCAAAAAACAACAUUAACAUGAAUUUGAAGGUUUUUUUUUUUAGGACUAUGCCAACCAUCUUGCGCGAAAAAAAAACCAUGGGCAUUUUGAAAAGUUGGCAGGUAUGUAAGUGGUAAAUACAUGCAAUAGAAUCCCUGCUUUUAAUUACAGCAAAUAGUGCAUACAUGUAUAUCGCAUGGUGAAGGGAAAUACUUUUGUUUUUAAUUUUAGAUUAACAAUUUAGAAACGGGUUUAUACAGGAAAAACAUAGAAAAUCAAAAUUGAUUAGCAUACUUAUUAGACUUUUAUUAUAAAAUCUCUAAAUAGCACUGAUUUCGAAUAAUUAUAUAAGUGCAGGUAACAACCUCGGUUAUCUAUGGCUAUUUAAUAUCAGGGGAUAAUUGUAAAUUUCAUCCUUGUCUGGUAAAUUUCAUCCUUGUCUGGUAAAUUACAUGUAAUAACAGUAUUUAUAGACGUAAUGACAUGUAAUCCCGAAAAUAAUUAACAUAGCACGUUACUUCUACUAUCGGUAAUCCCUAAUUUCGCUUAAUCAUAUAUAUACAAAUAAGCUCAAGAUUGAGGUCAUAUUAAACGAGUUUCCGGUAAAAAAUAAUCAGAGAUUUUAGGUACGAGACAAAAAACAAAAAAAACUAAAAUAUGAUUUGUAUGGCCCUGCAACAUAGUUGUCGGAGCCAUAUAGUUAUACCCUUGUCCGUAAUUCCGAAAUUCCGUAAUUUCGAUAUGCCGAAAUUCCGUAAUUCCGAAAUUCCGUAAUUCCGAAAUUCCAUAAUUCCGUAAUUCCGUCAUGUCGGUGCCAUAUAGUUUUACCCUUGUCCGUAAUUCCGUAAUUCCGUAAUUCCGAAAUUCCGUAAUUCCGUCAUUCCGCCAAAAACAUUAUACGGAGUUGUUUUCUAAACGCCUUCAAAUAUUGGGAUAAUUUUUGGGAUGUGAAUUAAACAUGAUCAGAUACAGAUCAAGUUUAAGUUUCGUUCCGCCCCGCUAAUUUUUGCCGAAAUUACAGGCUUUGGAGUUUGAUAAAUUGUUGAAAUUCACAGUUAUACGGACUUUUUUUCUAAACUCUUUCAGAUAUUGGGAUGAUUUUAGGUAUGUGAGUUAAUCAAGAUGAGUUCCAGAUCAAGUUUAAGUUUUGUUUUCCACUCGGCUAAUUUUUUCCGAAAAAUUACGUGCUAUGGACUACGAUAAAUUAUUGAAAAUCACAGUUAUACAUGUACAUGUACAGACUUUUUUCCUAAACGCUUUCAGAUAUUGGGCCGUUUUUUGGUAUGUGAGUCACUCAUGAUGAAUUACAGAUCAAGUUUAAGUUGCGUUCAGCUCCGCUAAUUUUUGCCAAAAUUAUAGCUUUACAACUUUGAAAAUUGUUGAAAAUCACAGUUAUGCGGACUUUUGUUCUAUACGCAUCCAGAUUUUGAGCUGAUUUUUUAUAUGUAAGACUACCAUCAUGUUUGUUUCCACGUGUGUUAUUGAUAUUGCAGAUAUUUUAACUUUUUGAGACGGGGCCAUUUGUGUCGCUUUGACACUUCUAGUUUUUUGUUGAAUUAUUAAGGAAAGUGAAUGUCCACAUGCGUUAUUGAAAUUGCAGAUUUUUCAACUUUUUGAGACGGGGCCAUUUGUGUCUAGUUUUUUGUUGAAUUAUUAAGGAAAGUGAAAUACUCAAACUAAACUUGCUACUUCAAGCGAAUUACUAUUUCAUUAAUUUGCUUGAAGUAGCUAGUUUAGUUCGAUCUUGACGACAUAAUCUAACAAAGAUCGAUGAUGAAUUAUUCCGUAUUCAAUUAACCAUCCAUUUUACCCCCUUUUAAGUGCAGUUGAUUCAAGUAUAACCUAAGCGUGAUCAGCUAUUAAGUGAUAGUUUUUACUAAUCAAGUCAGUAUAUAAUUGGAAUGCUAGGGUGAACCCCCUUCUUAACUUGCUUCGGAUGUUUGUUUGGAUUAAUGGGUAAUCCAAGCCGUGCAGAUUAAAUGAUAUUCAUGUUUAUCGAUUUGGUUGGUCCAAUACAUAACAAAAUUAAAAAUAAAAUAAAAUAAACCGUUUGGUUGUUUCUGUGAAAUUUAUUCACAAUUUGAUCUAAGUUGUCCGAGUGAACUUAUAUACACAUGGAAAAAAGUAUUGCAACACCAAAUUGAAAUUGAAAUUAAAAAAACACUUUUUAUUUUUUUGGGGAUAUAAUUUGGUAAAAUAGACCUAGUUAAACAUUAUUUAAGUAUCACCUGAGUUUAAUAAAAAAAUAUCGACUCGAUAAUUUUUUAUCUGCACAUGCAGCUACUCUACCCGUAAACAGCAAAACAGUUGUUUUUAUCCUCAUUGUUUUCAACCCUUUAAAUAACCAAAUUUUUAAAGUUAUGUAAUUGACAUCUUAUAAUGGGUCCUGGACAACUCUUAACUGCAGCAAGAUGGCAGAUUAUCAGCAUAAGGGAAGCAGGGAUGUCGCUGUAAAAACUGCACGUUUUGUUGGUCAUCACCAUUUCUCUAUAAGUCGUUUUGAGAAUAAAUCAGGCAAUAAAUGCUGUAAAAGACAUUCCGAGAUAAUGAAGACCCCCUAUACCAUUUCUUAGAAAAAUAAAGCAUAAUGAAGGUUGGUCAGAAGGAAACCCACUGCAUACAAGACAAUCCUAAAAAGAGAGUGGUGGCCAUACAGGAGCCUUUUAACAGAACUGUCGAGAUCGAACUCAUCGCUACUGGUUAUCGUGCGAUAAGACCAUUUCGGAGACCUUUGCUAACGAACAGACACACAGUUUUUCGUAUCCAAUGUUGUGCAGAGUUCGCCAAAGUUGGAAAUUAGCAUCGUGGAGGAAGAUCCAAUGUUCAAAUGGAAUUCAGUUCAUCUUCCUUGGCACGAUCGUAGCCCGGAUUUCAACCAUAUCGAGCAUAUUUGGGACACUAUUGGGCGGAAAGUGCGCGAAAGGACACCCCAGUUCAAACCCAUCAUGAAAUAAACAAUGCCCGUCAUCAGAAAUGGUUGCUGCUACCUUAGCAACAAAUAAGUCGAUUUGUGGCAGGAAUCAGAAGACGUUUAGAUGCGGUUAUCCGUUUGGAUAGAGGCUGCGCACAAAGUACUAAUUCUUUGGCGUAUAACCAUCAACCAUGAUGUGAACAGUCAUCUAAGGAUUAAUUUUGAAAUGUCUGACAUUGUAAUGUUCGACUACAGUAAAAGUUGUAAAAUGCAUUUUUUUUGUACAAAAAACACUCCAUUUUGGUAUUAAAAUUGUGGUUAAAUAAAUCAUUUUUUUUCAAACAUUUUUUGUUCGUUUCAAUGCCAAUGUUAUCAUAAACUAUGUUUCAAUAAUAUUAUACACAUAUUUUAUUAUAUUUCAUCCAAAAAAAAGAGGAUGAUUUUUCAAGUUUUAAAAAAUCAAGGUGUUGCAAUACUUUUUUCCAUGUGUAUAUAAUGACAUAACCGAUUCAGAAGUUUCCAUAUUGUUUGAUUGCUGUCUUAUUGGGAUUUAAUCGAUACACGUAUCUCACAUAAUUUUGGUUUCGUGUAAUGUACUUUUAAAUCGGUGUUAGACAAAUUUGGAAAUGGUUGUUGAGUAUAGAUCAAUUGCUCUCUUUUCCCUAAUGAAUAUGAUUUGUUGAAGAGACAUGUACUAAAUUUCACAUUGCAAAGUUAACAACGACAACACAAACUGUUUUCCAAUCUUCUGCUCCACCAAAAUUUGUUUACAUACAUAAUAAUUAUACAUAUUUAUUCUGAAGACGUGUCCUAUGAAAACGAAAUCAGAUCGCACUCCAACCACCUAGUAUAAAGAUGUGGGUGUGUUAUCACUUACUUUAUUACACACACAUGCAUCAUCAAAAUCGAUUUAAAACUGUCUUCAACUGUCGUAUAAAUUCCACUGAAAAACAAAAGUAAUCCGAAUCAUGUUUUAGCUCUUUUGGAAAUUUUAUGAGAUUACAAAAAAAUGUUUUAUUUAAAUUGCGUAAUUGCCACGUCAGAUUAAAACAGAGGGACGAAGAAGGCGUACGCCCCUUUGUUUUGAUAAUACAUAAUUGGGGGAGAUAACUGUAUGUUAAGCACUGACGGCAUCAAUUUUGGAUUUGGUGGUCGCAAAUUAAGUUUACCGGCGACGUUAUUACGUAUCCAGUAAACGGGUAUUUGCGACCAUCAAAUCACCAAUUGAUGUCGUCGGAGCUUAAAAUACGAUGGAUCAAAACUGCGUAUACAAUUUAUAAACUAGAAACCCUAAGGCACAUUUAGUUUAAAUUUGAAGGUAUUUGGCCCUGUAGUUUCUGAGGAGAAGAUUUUUAAAAUAGUUUACGACGACAGACGACGACGACAGACGACGGACGACGACGGACGCUAAGAUAUGGCUUAAGCUCAGAUGAUGCCCUACGGGCCACAAUUAGCUAAAAGGUGAUUUACAGCUGUUUGAAAGAGGUCCAAAAGUGACAAUUUUUUGUUUAUCCCCGUCACCGUUUGAGUGUUAAAAUAAAUGGUAUCACCGGUUAUCAGGUAAAUUUUAAAACAAAACUGUAUAAUGUAUUUACUGUAUGUUGUUUUGUCUGUGUUAUUUCUUGCUCGUAGUAGUAUGCAUGAUCCCUGACACAACUUAAGGAUGUUCGCUACUCCGUUUAAAAAUAACAAGCUUUAUAAAAGACUGUUAUGAAUUGAUAGUUUAUAAAUAAUGAAACAAUAAAAGCAGAAAAAAAUGGAGGGUUUGUGUGCUUGUUUUCAAGAUAUAAGCCAUUGAAAAUUUGGCGGGAAAUAAUUCUCUCUAGAGUUUUCAUACAUUUAAUAUUGACACCUUUUUCCGUUCAAAAACUAUGAAAAAAUAACAAGGAUUUCAUAAGAUUUUGAAAUAUGGCUUUUUGAACAUUAUGUAAUAAAAUUAUGAAAAGAAAAGUAGGGGUUAGUGGGCAAAAUUUGUCAAUGACAAUACAUGGAUAAAACCAGAGGAUUCCGAAAAUCUGUCAAAAAUCAAAAAAUAGAGGAGCAAACACCCUUAAGUACAUGCACAAUAAGAAAUUCAAAAGCAAUAGAACAGCGCUUGUCUCUUCAGGUUUGAGAUGGCCAAUAUCACCUAGUGUGCAGCGUAUCACCAUAUCUUAAAAAAAUAUACGGACAAGAAUCUUCUUAUCUUUAUAUUUAUUGUUAACAUCUGUAUCGUUUGGUCUCUGGUUGGAAGUUGUCUCAUCUGUAAGCAUACAAAUCUUGUUAUUUUGACUUGACGUUAUAUAAAUUGAGAAUGGAAAUGAGGAAUGUGCCAAAGAGACAACAACCCGACCAUAGAAAAAAAACAACAGCAGAAGGUCACCAACAGUUCUUCAAUGUAGCGAGAAAUUCCUGCACCCGGAGGCGUAACACAUAUAAAUACAAUGUAUCAUACAAGUUGAAUCAGAUGACAUUUUUAAUUAUAGACAGAACUAUAAUUGUUCUUCUUUGUGCUCGUUUGAUAAAUAUUAUACGAGACUUUUGAUUCUAAUUCACCUGAUGCUUAUUCAUCUGUCAGAUUAAGGAAAGUUGAUUCUAUAUUUGUUCUUUCUUUUGAAGAAAAAUUAUCUCUUUGAUGUUUAUUUCUGUAUAUCUUUAUCUUUGUGAUAGCGAUUUUGCUAUCAAAGUUAUAUAUUCGAAUUUCACUUUUGAACAAUCUGAUCAAGAUUGCUAAUAAUACUUCUCAAAACAAGAAUAUCAUUGUUCUAUAAUACAUGUAGGUGUGUUUGUGUUUGUCAGUUUUAUUUCUGGCGUUUAAUUGUUAUUCAAGGUUGGUAUCUGGCCUUGCGGUCAUAAAACUUUGGAGCACGAUUUUUGAACUCAGACUCAAGAAUCAACCAAUCAAAAUGCUGGAUUUCAUGUUUCGAGCAUGAUUUUUGUGCUCCGAGCACUGAGCAAAGUUUUAUGACUUCAACCCCUGAUGCUAAGUUGUCUUACAUUUAAAUAAUUACAAGUUAACUCUAUUCAAAUAGAAAAAAAAUGAUAUUGGGUAUACAUGAUCUAUAACACAAAAUAAGUGCAACUUACACAAAAGCAGAGAAAACAGCACCAGUUCCGGUGAAUAAAAUAAAAUUAAGCCAUUCCAAAUUUAAGAUGGUCGAUAGCACCAAGGUUCAUCGUAUUGCCAUAGUUUCUCAACACUAAGAAAAAGAAUGGAAAUGUCAUUAUUAGCGUCUGUAUAUAUCUUACAAGUCAGACGGACGAACUUCUAUUGGUCCUCGCAUUUAUUGCUAGUCUUGAGAUAUACAUAUUUCAAUUGGCAUACAGUAAACGUAUAUGCAAAAACACAAUUCGUUUUUUAUAUGUUGCAGGUUUUUUUUAUUUUGUUUUUUAUUUGGAAAACAUUUCAUUGAUAUAGAUUGAACAUGCAUCAAAUAUGUGCAUGUUAGUAAGAUAUUUAAUUAAUUCAUUCAUCUCAAAAUGUUAAAAUCACUAUCUGGAGAAAAGAUGGUUUCCUAUUUAGUAAUCGAAAAAGGAAAGCAAGUAUAUAUUGCUGACAAAACUAAUGACACAUUUGUAUGUAAUACUAUGUAGUAUCCUUAGAGUAGAAUUAUGUAUAGAUAUUUGAAAACUGACUGAAGCUGAGCUUGUUAAAACCAGGCCGUCAAAACAUUUGAUCCUUUUUUUUUUGUUAUAUCUAUAAAUACGAAGAUGGGGUAGAUUUUGAAGCAGAGCGAAUUGUGCACCUUAUAAUCAGCAUAGCUCUAUCAAAUGACAAAAAAAUCUCAAAAUCCAGGCUAAAGUAAGACGUAUGUACUGUUCCUCGGUAUGUUUUAGAACAUUGUAAUACGUGAGUGUGUUACGUCAAUAAUCAAACAACCUUAUAUGAAUGUCUUUGUAUACGCCCGUUUACGGUAUGUAUUACGGUAUACCGUUGUCAAUCCGUCCGUCUGUCUGUCCGACAAACUAUUCUUACAUCAGUAGCACUGAUCGAAACACUGAAGUCUUCAUUCUAAAAAUGUGCGCUCGGUCAACGCUAUUACAACCCUAUGAAGUUACAAAAAGAAGUGUUCCAUACUUUUAAUUACUUUUUUUACUAUGAUCAUGAAAACACGAAUUUUAUAAUUGUUGUAUUCAAUUCACUUGUUCACUUUAUUGUGGGACCACGUGUUACCAUGAAUGAACAGUUUUAUUGAGUAAUGCAAUUGCUUAAGGAAUAACACGUGAUGUGCAGUUAGCCAAUCAGAAUAAAGUAUUAUAAUGAAACAUAUAAUUAUUUGAUAAUGAUAAACUAUGUUAUAAUAUUGUGUGAUACUGUAAAUUACUCCUGAGUAAGACAAAUUGAAUACGUGCUUGAUAAUUGUUAAAUAUGUGAUAAGUUAUAGAUACAAAAUGUAUGUCAUAGCUUUGGGAUAAUUUGUCCGUGUAUCAUAUUACAAAUUAUGUACCAUACGAGACACAUAAUGGACAUUCAUAGAAGUAACGUACACCCAAAACAUUUUUUUAAUGACUUAAUAAAUGCAUACACUUUUCAGUUUGCUGUGCGCAUUGACGAUGAAGAUUUUUCCUGACGGCUAAACAUCACUUGCACGGUCUGCUUGUGCGCAUUCGUAAUUUUAGUCAAAAUUAUAGGAUUUGGGACAAAGUCGGUUAUUGGAAGAUAAACUAUUUUAAUUAAGAACAAAGCUAUCACGAUGGAAAGCAACGUUUUAAAUCAAUAAAAAAAAAAAACAAAAAAAACACAAGCACACACACAUAUUACGAACUAUUCAACCCUAUUAAAGCUACAUGUUAUUUCUUGACGGGUGCCACUUAGGAAUUGGUAACUUUAUGGAGAACAUGCACAAAGCCCUUGUUUUGCGAGGUUUGUUUUUUCGAAAUAAUUAGUUUUCUUUAUUGAAUAUUGUGACUGCAUUUGUUUUUUUUUUUUCAUUUGUCAACAAUGGGAUUUUUUUUCAUUCUUUUCAUUUAAGUUUUGUUCCCUAUUGACCGUUACCUCUCUUUUGAAAAUGAGGGUUUUGAUUAAUUAACUCUUCUUUCAUUUGUAAUUUGUUUCUAAAAUUAACAAUGAGGCAAAUAUACUCCAUUUUUAAAAGGAGGUGGAUUUUCCAAAUCAAGCCGUACAUGUAUUAUCCCCAAACAAAUACAUUGAUCCUUUCCCGCAAAAAAAGGAGUUUCUAACCCCGGACCCAUCCCCUCCCGCGAUUCUACACUGAUAAGGCAAUUAAUCAUAAUAAAUAUGUGUUUUAAAAUACGUAACUGUGUAGAAUCGUGGUCGAUUUAUUGCACUUGUUUUAAUAAAUACUAGAUCAUAAUCAACGUUUGCCAUAUGGUUAAUAGAGAUAUCGUGUUUGAAACCUACGGGCCGACUCAUGUGAUAGAUUUAAUCUUUUCAAUUGAAAUAACAGCGAACUAUUCCUUAGGCUUUGAUUGUACACAUCCGCAUAAUAUUUAUUGUAAAUUGGUCACCUUUUGCGAUCAAUUUAUUCAUUUUCCAAGUUAGCAUUUAUUAGUUAAAACUUUGUCGUUGAUGUAACACGGAAACUUUAUUUACUAAUAUCAAAAUUUAAUAACAGUGAGUACAGUCAUGAAUACUUUUUUGUUGUGUAUAAAGGUUGGAGGGGUUCCAACUUAAUAUGUAUGUCCCCAUUUAAAAGCAUUGAUCGCCAAAAAAAAAGGGGGAGUUCAAACCCCCGGACCUGACCUCACCUGUGAUUCACCACUUUAACAUGAAUAAAUAUGUACGAAUACGUUCUAAAAUAUCAUCAUUUAAAAUUGAGUUAUGUGGUUUUGCUUACUAUAGUUUCUUUUGUUACCUAUUUUGACAGCGGACUCGGACUUUGUUAGACUGAGUUCGACUUUGCAUAUUGUUGCGUGUUUGUUGAUUGCUUAUAAGGUACAGGUAAAGGGAAGGGUUGAGCUCCUACAAAGUAUGUUUAAAUCCAAUGCAAUUUUGCGCCUGUCCCAAGUCAGAAGCCUCUAGCCUUGACGUCAUAAAAUUUUUGAGUCAGUUUUUUGUACUCAUUAUCCAAAAUCCAACAUGUUUCGAGCAUGAUUUUUGUGCUCCGAGCACUGAGCAAAGUUUUAUGACUUCAACCCGUGGUCUUUGUUAAGCUUCUAUGUUUUCUUUUACGGGAUACGGGAUUUACUCGCUUUGUUGAAGACCCAUUGGUGGUAUUGAGUUGUUUUCUGUCCUAUGGUCGGUGGCCGCAGCGCUUUUUAUAAAUAUUUCUUCUUUGCAUUACGAACGGUCAAUGGCAAAUAGUUGAAAGUCAAAUUUGUAUAAAAUGUAGAUGGUGAAGACUUAACUGUGUAAAGUGUUUGUAUUAUUUUAAUUACAUUUAAUAUUUAUAAGCGCAACAACUUCACAUGUUUCAUUUACAAUUGGAUAAAACGCCUAUAUAUAACUCUCAUUUAUCUUGCUAUGCAUGUACAGCAAGCUAUGUUAUUUGGUAUGAAACCAUAAAAUUGAGAAUGGAAAUGGGGAAUGUGCCAAAGAGACAACAACCCGACCAUAGAAAAAAACAAGACAAGAAGGUCACUAACAGGUCUUCAAUGUAGCGAGAAAUUCCCGCACCCGGAGGCGUCCUUCAGCUGGCCCUAAACAAAUAUAUACUAGUUCAGUGAUAAUGAACGCCAUGAUCUGUACUAAUUUCCAAAUUGUACAGUACAAUAGGCAAAGGGAAAUAAGUUAAAUGUGUGAAAUAAUUAACAUAUCAAAUAACUAAUUGGCAAAAACACCAUGAUUAAGGAAAAUGUAUAAGAAAGAAACCAAGCUGCUACUAGUAGUUUUUCAAUUUAGACAGUCACAAUUGUCAAAUCAGCGGUCGUCGUAUACACUUACUCGCAGCACACACUUAAUAUAAGGGAGCGACAAUUUGAUUUUUAGCGAGAGGGGUCAAGGAUGAACAAAUUUGUCCUUCAUCUUUUUUAAGUUGUAAUCUCUGUCCUGCCUUUUUCUCUCACUCUACUCGGUUGUCUCUCUCCAUUUGUUUUUAAUUUAUCCUGACUUUUUUUUACAUAACUUGUCAUUAUACCUGUUUUUUUGGCAAAGUUGUUCAUCCUACUUAUUUUACUUUAAACUCCUGUCCUGCCUAAAGUAUAUACAUAAAAAUUUACGUAGUAAUACAUGUAAUACAUGUUACUUGAAUCAGAAUAAAACAGUCAACACAAAGAAGUCAUUUACCUGCAACACAAUUUUUAUGUACACAUGUUUAAACAAACUAACCUUUUUUUUUACAUAAAUAAGGCCGUUAGUUUUCUCGUUUGAAUUGUUUUACAUUGUCUUAUCGGGGCCUAUUAUAGCUGACUAUGCGGUAUGGGCUUUGCUCAUUGUCGAAGGCCGUACGGUGACCUAUAUUUGUUAAUGUCUGUGUCAUUUUGGUCUUGUGUGUAUAGUUGUCUCAUUGGCAAUCAUACCACAUCUUCUUUUUAUAUUAGUUUAACUGUUGAAGGACUGUUAUAAAUUGAUCUUAUAUGAUAAACGGCACUACAUGAACUACACAAGUAGAAAUAAUAUAAGAUCCAUGUACUUGUUUUUGAGGUUUUGUCCCUUGAAAAAUUGUCGGGACAUGAUUAUCUUUAGAAUUUUCUUCUAUUGAAUAUAAGCACCUUUUAAUGUCCCUGCAACUAAAAAUUGAAGGGCUUCUUGUUUUACCCCUGUCCGUCCUUCUGUCAGUCCAUCCGUUCGUCCGUCCGUUCGUCUCAUUAUUAGUAUAUAGUUGGGAAUCUGAUGUUCAGUUGUUGUCGUUUGUUGAUGUGGUUCAUAAGUGUUUCUUGUUUUAUGAAUAUAUUAGACCGUUGGUUUCCUAUUUGAAUGAAUUUAAAUUCAUUUUAGUAAUUUUUGGUGCUCUUCAUAGCUUGCUGUUCGGUGUGAACAAAGGCCCCGCGUUGAACACCGUACUUUGAAAUAUAAAUGGUUUGUCUAGUUUUCUAUGAUGUUUUAUGAAAAAUUUGGCAAUCUUUGUAUUUAUGUGUAUUAGAAACAAAUAAUACUGACUUCUGAUAUCUAUUGUAGACAGAGGAAACAAUGGUUAAAGCAAUGUUGAUCAUUCUGUUAUUGGUGACAGUGACAUGCGCAUCCGCAUUUCCGGAUAAAAGAGCGGCAGUUUGUACAGGGUCCAGCGGAACUAUUUAUUUCGAGAAUUUCUGUGGUUGUAUAGGAAAAACAC